rnacentral:rRNA from 1 species
GACGAACGCUGGCGGCGUGCCUAAUACAUGCAAGUCGAGCGAAGUUUUUCUGGUGCUUGCUCCGGAAAAACUUAGCGGCGAACGGGAGAGUAACACGUAAAGCACCUGCCUUAUAGACUGGGACAACUAUUGGAACCGAUAGCUAAUACCGGAUAACAGCAUUAACUGCAUGGUUGAUGUUUGAAAGUUGGUUUUUCUAACACUAUGAGAUGGCUUUGCGGUGCAUUAGCUAGUUGGUGGGGUAAAGGCCUACCAAGGCGACGAUGCAUAGCCGACCUGAGAGGGUGAUCGGCCACACUGGAACUGAGACACGGCCCAGACUCCUACGGGAGGCAGCAGUAGGGAAUCUUCCGCAAUGGGCGAAAGCCUGACGGAGCAACGCCGCGUGAGUGAAGAAGGAUUUCGGUUCGUAAAGCUCUGUUGUUAGGGAAGAAUGAUUGUGUAGUAACUAUACACAGUAGAGACGGUACCUAAACAGAAAGCCACGGCUAACUACGUG